GCAGUUGUGGCCGAGUGGUUUUUAGGCGAUGGACUAGAAAUCCAUUGGGGUCUCCCCGCACAGGUUCGAAUCCUGUCGACUGCG
rnacentral:tRNA from 1 species